rnacentral:rRNA from 2 species
UUAAAUUGAAGAGUUUGAUCAUGGCUCAGAUUGAACGCUGGCGGCAGGCCUAACACAUGCAAGUCGAACGGUAGCACAGAGGAGCUU